AGCCUCUUGCAAAUUCAUGUGGGACAUGGAAACGUGAAAGAAGAAAAGCUUUGUUGUGAUUUACUCUGUGGCCCUCCGAGACUUCGUGUAACAGCAACUGCAUUUUAAUGCAAUGGCAGCUAUGGAAAACACAAAACUAUCAGUCAUUGUCAAAUACUCCAUAAAUGGAGACAGAGAAGGGGUUCAGUUCUCUGUGUAACAAGGACAGAGGAGAAAGGCAUCUGCAGUGUCAAAUCUACAGAGACAAGUGCACCUGGAGACAAAUGACCAGACUACCAUAAAACAGAAGCUUAAUUAUGUUCACUUACAUUUUCAAAUUAUUCCCAACAAAUUACCCUGCUGAUCCUGCAUUGAGUGCAAGCAAAAAACUGUCAAGUUUUCCCUGGAUCUUUGGGCUUUCAUUUCUGAAGUCUCCUGUGUCACGUAAAACUUUGUUAAAUAAAUUUGUUAUGCUUUUCUC
ensembl:lncRNA LINC00446 long intergenic non-protein coding RNA 446